CCCUCCCUCCCUCCCUCCCUGGGCUGCGGCUGGACGAGCCCAGGUCCCUGCCAGCUCGGUGUAGAUCAUUGCUGUGGUGAAAGGCCGGGGAGAUGUCCUAGGAUGCUACUCGUCUGCAGGGACUUCCGGCCCGUUUUUGUCCCGACAGCUGCUUGCAGCGCUGAUCCAUGGUUUCGCACCUGUUAGCAGCGUUGCACAGCGUUGUCCUGACACCAGGUGAAACGCUCCGGUUUGGGCUCAGCUUUGCUCUGAAUUCUUCGGGCAGCGAGACCCCGAGCCCCUGAAGCUGGAAGUGCUUGUCGCCCAGGACGAGCAGAGACCCCUUGGGCUCGACACCGUUGGGCAGCACAGAGCUAGCUAUCCGUGAGGGAAAAAGCACAUUUCCUUGAUUGUAACUGAAAGGAGUAUGCAGAUAGCCUCUGAUCAUGUUGAGAAGAACCCAUCAGCAGCAUGUGUUCUCAGCCGUGAAAGCAGAUCAAGUCUUGACACACUGAGCCACAUCUGAGCUGUUAACGUCGUAAAUUUUCAGACUGUUGCUUCACUUUCCCUUUCCAAGGCCUCCAUACCUAUGUCAGAAGUAGUGAGUCCAAGAGUUUCUGGUGCUUAGACUUGAUUUUUUUUUGUCGCAGGCCAAAUUAGUCAAAUGAGUUCCAAAUUCCAUCUGUUGAGCAGAGCUCACUUGUUCAGGUCCAUGUGGUUUUGCCACCAGCAAGUAUCUUUCCUCCCAGACUCUUCAGCCUGGGGCUUCAGAUACUCUCAAAUCCAUGGCAAGUAUUUUACAUGCAAGCCCCAAGCCUGGAGGUCUUGGGGUUCAGAUGCUCCCAAAUCUCACUUGCCCCUAGCCAAAAGGUCAAAGGAGCAAGAACACAAUGGAGGUAUUCUACUGUUGGUUAUAGGACCUCACUAAAACUUGGCUGCAUUUAAACAAACCCCAUUUGGCAGGUUUACCCUGAAACCACAACUCUUUCUGGGAGAAUUCCUGGAUAAAGAAACCCAGCUGUCUGUGAGUUCCUGCAAAUGCUGAUGUUUUGAGUCAUUAAAUCCACAAAAGAGACUUAAUGCAUAUGCAAACCUCAGAGGGCCGGAGAUGAGGCAUGGAUACACCCAGAAAACAGUCAUGCAUAAUCGGGGAGGAAGAAACACCAGUCACUGGAAAGUGGCUUCUGAAAGGAAUGCAUCUUGUGAGCAAGCUUCCCACAAAGGAAAUGACUAUCUUGUUCUGAGGAUGAAACUCCAAAUGCUCUAGAAACCUCAGCUGCCAACAUCAAAAGGGCAGUAUCCACAGAGUCUCCAAUUUCAGGGAGGCCCCGCCUGGCUUAGGAAAUUACUCCAUUGGCAAACACAGUCAAUAGCAAUGGGUCCUUCAGAAUCAAUCUUGAAAUGUGUGUGUCUGCUAAUGUAAAAGUGAUACAGUCCCACCUUUCUCCUGUAAGUACCCCAGCACUUUACAUAAGCGUGCAGACAUUACCACCCCAUUUAUGGAUAGGAACACGGAUGGGACAAGGUGAGCAGGAAUAGUUCUGCUACAGAUAAUGGACAUCUGAUUUGCUUAAAAUUAAGCAUGUGUUCAAGAGAUGUGCUGAACUGGUGCCUGAGCUUGUAAACUUCUAUAAUCAGGGAUCCUGUAUUUUAUGUGUAUUGGGAAGCACCUAAUGCUCCAUUGGGCACUGUACUUAUUUGUGUAUCCACACGCGCAUGCACGCACGCACGCACACACACACACACACAAAUAUACACACAUAAAUAUAAGUACAAAUAAAUAUUGCAACAUAGCUAUAAUUAAAAAAAUAACUAUUUCAGCUGAGCAGUGAACUGUAGAAUCAAUGGCUCUGAGUUUCAUGUGGAAGGCACUCGGUACAGUUUAGGGCAGUACAGUAAUCAAACUUUGCAAGCAGAAAUAGACAGAAUGACAGGUCUACCUGUUAAAGUGGGAAAGAAGUUGGAGCAAUUAUCAGCUAAGCAUGUGACACAGCUAAAAUACACUGUGUCUAUGCUAAGAUUCCUGUAAAAAAGCACCUGUGUGUUCUUUAUAGUUUAAUUCCCUGGACUGUUCAUUACAUUUGGUGUGUUGUUUGUCAACACACAAUUAAAUACUGAUAGAAAUGA